rnacentral:rRNA from 1 species
AGAGUUUGAUCCUGGCUCAGGACGAACGCUGGCGGCGUGCCUAACACAUGCAAGUCGAACGAGAAUCUUUGAACAGAUCUUUUCGGAGUGACGUUCAAAGAGGAAAGUGGCGGACGGGCGAGUAACGCGUGAGUAACCUGCCCAUAAGAGGGGGAUAAUCCAUGGAAACGUGGACUAAUACCGCAUAUUGUAGUUAAGUUGCAUGACUUGAUUAUGAAAGAUUUAUCGCUUAUGGAUGGACUCGCGUCAGAUUAGAUAGUUGGUGAGGUAACGGCUCACCAAGUCAACGAUCUGUAGCCGAACUGAGAGGUUGAUCGGCCGCAUUGGGACUGAGACACGGCCCAGACUCCUACGGGAGGCAGCAGUGGGGAAUAUUGCGCAAUGGGGGCAACCCUGACGCAGCAACGCCGCGUGCAGGAAGAAGGUCUUCGGAUUGUAAACUGUUGUCGCAAGGGAAGAAGACAGUGACGGUACCUUGUGAGAAAGUCACGGCUAACUACGUGCCAGCAGCCGCGGUAAUACGUAGGUGACAAGCGUUGUCCGGAUUUACUGGGUGUAAAGGGCGCGUAGGCGGACUGUCAAGUCAGUCGUGAAAUACCGGGGCUUAACCCCGGGGCUGCGAUUGAAACUGACAGCCUUGAGUAUCGGAGAGGAAAGCGGAAUUCCUAGUGUAGCGGUGAAAUGCGUAGAUAUUAGGAGGAACACCAGUGGCGAAGGCGGCUUUCUGGACGACAACUGACGCUGAGGCGCGAAAGUGUGGGGAGCAAACAGGAUUAGAUACCCUGGUAGUCCACACCGUAAACG